AACGAACGCUGGCGGCAUGCCUAACACAUGCAAGUCGAACGAGACCUUCGGGUCUAGUGGCGCACGGGUGCGUAACGCGUGGGAACCUGCCCUUAGGUUCGGAAUAACUCCCCGAAAGGGGUGCUAAUACCGGAUAAUGUCUUCGGACCAAAGAUUUAUCGCCUUUGGAUGGGCCCGCGUUGGAUUAGCUAGUUGGUAGGGUAAAAGCCUACCAAGGCGACGAUCCUUAGCUGGUCUGAGAGGAUGAUCAGCCACACUGGGACUGAGACACGGCCCAGACUCCUACGAGAGGCAGCAGGGGGGAAGAUUGGACAAUGGACGCAAGUCUGAUCCAGCAAUGACGCGUGAGAGAUGAAGGCCUUAGGGUUGGAAAGCUCCUUUACCAGGGAUGAUAAUGAGAGUACCUGGAGAAUAAGCUCCGGCUAACUCCGUG
rnacentral:rRNA from 1 species